UCACACCUGUUCCCAUGCCGAACACAGAAGUUAAGCUCCUUAGCGCCGAUGGUAGUCGGACUUACGUUCCGCAAGAGUAGGACGUUGCCAGGC
rnacentral:rRNA from 3 species